rnacentral:lncRNA from 1 species
GAUUGCAGAAAGUAAGAAAUAGUAGAGAAAAAAAGAAAAAGUUGAAAUCAAAUGAGAUAAUUCAACGUGUAUUGAACCAUUUUAUUGCUAUUAAGUCCAGCAGAAAACACAUAUAUACUCAGCCUAACCAUACUAUUUGACCUACUGCGAGUUAAUCAGUUUUUACUGUUACUCCUAAAAUAUGGGUGCUGGGUAAAUCAUCAUGUAAAAUGGUCAUUAUCAGAGCUGUGUGUCUUGGUUCAAAAUGAAUUAUCUUCUUUUGAGAAAUAUUUAUUUUGUCAUCCUAUUUUUCACCUCAUAGAACUGUCCGUACCUGUGGUUUUAUUCUAUACAUUAACUUUUAUGUAUCAGCAUGUUUUCAUUUCAUUCUGUUUCGUUUCGUUUCACUUUUAUUUCGUUUCCCAGUUUACAGGUACCCCUCUUUUUGCCCCUUUUCUAUUUUUGAUAUUUUAAUCAAAAGUUUAAAAAACCAAACAUUCAAAAAGUGAAAUAAUCAAAAUUGCACGUUAGGUUUAGUAUUUUAAAAGUUUGAUCAAAUUUCUAAACUAUCAAAUUUAAAAACGAUAUUUAGAAUUUUAAUAUUUUAAUAAUUUGGUUAAAAU